GACGAACGCUGGCGGCGUGCCUAAUACAUGCAAGUAGAACGCUGAAGAGAGGAGCUUGCUCUUCUUGGAUGAGUUGCGAACGGGUGAGUAACGCGUAGGUAACCUGCCUUGUAGCGGGGGAUAACUAUUGGAAACGAUAGCUAAUACCGCAUAACAAUGGAUGACACAUGUCAUUUAUUUGAAAGGGGCAAUUGCUCCACUACAAGAUGGACCUGCGUUGUAUUAGCUAGUAGGUGAGGUAAUGGCUCACCUAGGCGACGAUACAUAGCCGACCUGAGAGGGUGAUCGGCCACACUGGGACUGAGACACGGCCCAGACUCCUACGGGAGGCAGCAGUAGGGAAUCUUCGGCAAUGGGGGCAACCCUGACCGAGCAACGCCGCGUGAGUGAAGAAGGUUUUCGGAUCGUAAAGCUCUGUUGUAAGUCAAGAACGGGUGUGAGAGUGGAAAGUUCACACUGUGACGGUAGCUUACCAGAAAGGGACGGCUAACUACGUGCCAGCAGCCGCGGUAAUACGUAGGUCCCGAGCGUUGUCCGGAUUUAUUGGGCGUAAAGCGAGCGCAGGCGGUUUGAUAAGUCUGAAGUUAAAGGCUGUGGCUCAACCAUAGUUCGCUUUGGAAACUGUCAAACUUGAGUGCAGAAGGGGAGAGUGGAAUUCCAUGUGUAGCGGUGAAAUGCGUAGAUAUAUGGAGGAACAUCGGUGGCGAAAGCGGCUCUCUGGUCUGUAACUGACGCUGAGGCUCGAAAGCGUGGGGAGCGAACAGGAUUAGAUACCCUGGUAGUCCACGCCGUAAACGAUGAGUGCUAGGUGUUGGAUCCUUUCCGGGAUUCAGUGCCGCAGCUAACGCAUUAAGCACUCCGCCUGGGGAGUACGACCGCAAGGUUGAAACUCAAAGGAAUUGACGGGGGCCCGCACAAGCGGUGGAGCAUGUGGUUUAAUUCGAAGCAACGCGAAGAACCUUACCAGGUCUUGACAUCCCGAUGCUAUUUCUAGAGAUAGAAAGUUACUUCGGUACAUCGGUGACAGGUGGUGCAUGGUUGUCGUCAGCUCGUGUCGUGAGAUGUUGGGUUAAGUCCCGCAACGAGCGCAACCCCUAUUGUUAGUUGCCAUCAUUCAGUUGGGCACUCUAGCGAGACUGCCGGUAAUAAACCGGAGGAAGGUGGGGAUGACGUCAAAUCAUCAUGCCCCUUAUGACCUGGGCUACACACGUGCUACAAUGGUUGGUACAACGAGUUGCGAGUCGGUGACGGCGAGCUAAUCUCUUAAAGCCAAUCUCAGUUCGGAUUGUAGGCUGCAACUCGCCUACAUGAAGUCGGAAUCGCUAGUAAUCGCGGAUCAGCACGCCGCGGUGAAUACGUUCCCGGGCCU
rnacentral:rRNA from 1 species